GCUGCCUCUGAUUUCAGUGAGAAAGGCAGAAAUUUAUAGGGGACUGUAGAGCAGGGACAGGUUUUCAGUUUUCUAAAUUGAGGUUUUAACUGGCCAACUUCUGAAGGUUUAAGAAACCAGAGCUGAGCUGUGGGAAGCUGGUUUCUUUUCCGGUCAGAACAAAUAAACACAAAAACACAUAUCUAACUCACAAAGUGUUAGAAAUAAACCAAUGCUCUUAGCAGAAGAAGAAAACAAAAAAGUCAGCCUUGUGGGCAACAGAGGGAAAGUCGUAUUCGCCAGCAGGCAGCACCCUAUGCUGGCAGAGGGAGAAAUGUGAGCCUCAGCAGCUUUGGGGCAGGAUUUGCACAAAGUCUCCCGUUUCAAGUUGCUUGUCUCCAGAGCCCCGGGGAAGGCGCCCAGCCCUCGUCUCCCUUCCAAAGCCCCCAAGGAUUGAGGAGAAACUCCCUUCUACCACCCACAGGACACGCAGGGCACCAGCAAAAGGACACCAAGUUAACAGAAGCCACCAACCAAGAAGGCAAUUCUAACAUCUACAGUAGGAAAGAAAACAGAUCCCGAUCCCAAAGCCUCACUCUGUGGACAAAUACUACAGGUUUUCCUGUGAGCAGAGCCACUGGCCCAGAACGGCAGGGAGCACCUAGCUCUGCAGUUGGCGAGAUGAUGACACUGAGUUUCAGAGAGACUAAGUGUGCCCACAAGAGGACGAUCAACAUCUAGAGGCCAGGCCUCCUGGCCCCAAUCCAGGACUCUCCUCUCCUCAACUGCAGACUCAUGAUCCAGCUUGUGGACUUUGAACAUCCAUAAGCCAUGUUGUCAUGUGACGGCAAGAUUUCA